GACUUGUAUAAGUCCCUACCGUAGACAGCAGGUGCCGUAAGGCAUAAGUCAGUACGCCUGCCGAGGAGAAUUUUAAGCACAUGACUUUUUAAUGUCUCCCGGUCUGCGGGAGGCAUUUUUUAUAUUAAUUC
rfam:Butyrivibrio crossotus CAG:259 genomic scaffold, scf91